rnacentral:rRNA from 1 species
AUGGCGAGUAGUGCUAGUAACAUUGAACAGCCGAUCCAUUUGUUCUUGGAUGGUCUAGAGAAGGAAAAAAGAAAGAAAGAUGAAGCAAGCAUCCAUAAGUCUAUGGCAGAGGCGUUUUUUUUGAGAGAUGUAGAACAGUUGUUUUGUGAACUAUCAAGCACGAGGAAUUCUUUUUGCGUGCAAAAAUGCCAAAUGGAGGCCGAGCUCCAUCUAGGUCAUAAUAUUGAAAAAUUCAAACUCAUACUCUACAUUUCACAAACUUUAAAAAAAUUAACAUGCCUAGAGGCACAAUGCACAUGUGUAUAG